rnacentral:rRNA from 1 species
CAAGCCGAUAAUCGAUAGGGGCCGUGAGAGCGGUUGCCCCGAGAUGGGUACUGAGACAGCGACCCAGGCCUUACGAGGCGCAGCAGGCGCGAGACCUCCGCAAUACACGCAAGUGUGACGGGGUUACCCAAAGUGUCCUUAUUGGACUGUGGCGGGUGAGUAAUGUUCCCCGCUAGAAAGGAGAGGGCAAGGCUGGUGCCAGCCGCCGCGGUAAAACCAGCUCUUCAAGUGGUCGGGAUAAUUAUUGGGCUUAAAGUGUCCGUAGCCGGUUUAGUAAGUUCCUGGUAAAACCGGGCAGCUUAACUGUCCGUAUGCUAGGAAUACUGCUAUGCUAGAGGGCGGGAGAGGUCUGAGGUACUACAGGGGUAGGGGUGAAAUCUUAUAAUCCUUGUAGGACCACCAGUGGCGAAAGCGUCAGACUGGAACGCGCCUGACGGUGAGGGACGAAAGCCAGGGGAGCGAACCGGAUUAGAUACCCGGGUAGUCCUGGCCGUAAACGAUGCAUACUAGGCAAUGGUGCGGCCAUGAGCCGCAUCAGUACCGUAGGGAAACCGUUAAGUGUGCCGCCUGGGAAGUACGGUCGCAAGGCUAAAACUUAAAGGAAUUGGCGGGGGAGCACCACAAGGGGUGAAGCCUGCGGUUCAAUUGGACUCAACGCCGGGAAACUUACCAGGGGAGGCAGCAGAAUGACAGUCAGGUUGACGACCUUACUCGACGAGCUGAGAGGAGGUGCAUGGCCGUCGCCAGUUCGUGCUGUGAGGUAUCCUGUUAAGUCAGGCAACGAACGAGAUCCGCGCCUUUAUUUGCCAUCAAGAAGUCACGACUUAUUUAGCCAUCACUAAAGGGACCGCCGUCGAUAAGACGGAGGAAGGAGCGGGCAAAGGCAGGUCAGUAUGCCCCGAAACCCCUGGGCUACACGCGGGCUGCAAUGGUGCGAACAAUGGGCUGUAACUCCGAAAGGAGUAACCA